UGUGAAGUUACUUAAACAACCAGGAGGUUGGCUUAGAAGCAGCCAUCCUUUAAAGAAAGCGUAAUAGCUCACUGGUCUAGUGAUUUUGCGCGGAAAAUAUAACGGGGCUAAAGUAAGUACCGAAGCUGUAGACUUAGUUUACUAAGUGGUAGGAGAGCGUUCUAUUUGCGUCGAAGGUAUACCGGUAAGGAGUGCUGGAGCGAAUAGAAGUGAGCAUGCAGGCAUGAGUAGCGAUAAUUAAUGUGAGAAUCAUUAACGCCGUAAACCCAAGGUUUCCUACGCGAUGCUCGUCAUCGUAGGGUUAGUCGGGUCCUAAGUCGAGUCCGAAAGGGGUAGACGAUGGCAAAUUGGUUAAUAUUCCAAUACCAACAUUAGUGUGCGAUGGAAGGACGCUUAGGGCUAAGGGGGCUAGCGGAUGGAAGUGCUAGUCUAAGGUCGUAGGAGGUUAUACAGGCAAAUCCGUAUAACAAUACUCCGAGAACUGAAAGGCUUUUUGAAGUCUUCGGAUGGAUAGAAGAACCCCUGAUGCCGUCGAGCCAAGAAAAGUUUCUAAGUUUAGCUAAUGUUGCCCGUACCGUAAACCGACACAGGUGGGUGGGAUGAGUAUUCUAAGGCGCGUGGAAGAACUCUCUUUAAGGAACUCUGCAAAAUAGCACCGUAUCUUCGGUAUAAGGUGUGGUUAGCUUCGUACUAGGAUUUACUCCGAAAGCGAAGAAACUUACAACAAAGAGUCCCUCCCGACUGUUUACCAAAAACACAGCACUCUGCUAACUCGUAAGAGGAUGUAUAGGGUGUGACGCCUGCCCGGUGCUCGAAGGUUAAUUGAUGGGGUUAGCAUUAGCGAAGCUCUUGAUCGAAGCCCGAGUAAACGGCGGCCGUAACUAUAACGGUCCUAAGGUAGCGAAAUUCCUUGUCGGUUAAAUACCGACCUGCAUGAAUGGCGUAACGAGAUGGGAGCUGUCUCAAAGAGGGAUCCAGUGAAAUUGUAGUGGAGGUGAAAAUUCCUCCUACCCGCGGCAAGACGGAAAGACCCCGUGGACCUUUACUACAGCUUGACACUGCUACUUGGAUAAGAAUGUGCAGGAUAGGUGGGAGGCUUUGAGUAUAUGACGCCAGUUGUAUAUGAGCCAUUGUUGAGAUACCACUCUUUCUUAUUUGGGUAGCUAACCAGCUUGAGUUAUCCUCAAGUGGGACAAUGUCUGGUGGGUAGUUUGACUGGGGCGGUCGCCUCCCAAAUAAUAACGGAGGCUUACAAAGGUUGGCU
rnacentral:rRNA from 1 species